ACAGUGGUGGCUCAGCAGUAGAACGCUCACCUUCCAUGUGGGAGGCCUGAGUUCAAUUCCCGGCCAACGCA
rnacentral:tRNA from 1 species